rnacentral:tRNA from 1 species
GUCAGUUUAGCUUAAUCGUAAAGCACUGGACGUGUAAUCCCAGAGAUGUGAGUUCGAGUCCAACUGCUGGCC